GACAGAGGGGGCAAGCGUUGCUCGGAAUCACUGGGCGUAAAGGGCGCGUAGGCGGGAUGGCAAGUCGGUCGUGAAAUCCUUCGGCUCAACCGAAGAACGUCGGCCGAUACUGCCGUUCUUGAGGGAUGCAGAGGAGAUUGGAAUUCCCGGUGUAGCGGUGAAAUGUGUAGAGAUCGGGAGGAACACCGGUGGCGAAGGCGGGUCUCUGGGCAUCUCCUGACGCUGAGGCGCGAAAGCGUGGGGAUCAAACAGG
rnacentral:rRNA from 1 species